AUGGGCUUUAGAGAUUUGAGAUUAUUUAACCAAGCGCUUUUGGCGAAAUAGGCUUGGCGUUUAUUGGUGUUUUCGGACUCGCUUUGUGCAAAGGUUAUGAAAGCGAAGUAUUAUCCUCAUGGGCAUUUUCUAGACUCUGUUUUCCCUCAUGUGACGUCAACUACUUGGCAAGGUAUUAUGCAUGGUCUUGAGCUACUGAAAAAGGGGGUCAUCUGGAGAAUUCGCGAUGGUGCAAAUAUAAAUAUAUGGAGAGACAAUUGGCUUCCUAGAGAUUCGGGUCUUCAAAUUUCUGGAAAAAACAACAGAACCAGACUCAAAUGGGUGUCUGAGUUAUUCAUCGGUGGCUCAAAAAGAUGGGACGAGAAUCUUAUUAGGCAUUUAUUCUUUCCACAAGAUGCUGAGGAAAUUUUGAAGUUGCGUAUUAUGACUUUUGGUGAGGGAGAUUUCAUUGCUUGGCAUUAUGAGAAAAAUGGCUGGUUCUCAGUUAAAAGUGCGUAUAAGCUGGCGCUCAAUCUUAUGGACUCUACGAGUGAGGCAGGGAGUUCAAGUGCUGCUACUAAUGGGGAAAGGAGACUUUGGAAUAUUAUUUGGAAGGCUCAGGUCCCUCGGAAAAUCAGAAUUUUUGCAUGGCGUGCCGCUACACACAGUUUGGCGGUUCAAGCCAACAGAGUUAAACACCACCAAACUACCAUUGGGUGGUGCUCGAUUUGUGGAGUAGAAGAUGAAUCUGUUUUUCAUGCAUUGGUUAGCUGUCCCAAGGCUCAUGCGCUUCGUUUGGCGGUAAGGGAGGUUUGGAAUUUACCAGAAGAAGUGGUGUUCAACUUUUCAGGGCCGGAUUGGCUUCUUAUCUUAUUGGAUCAAGUAAGGUCGCAUGUGCGUGAGAAAAUUAUAUUCAUGUUUUGGAGGGCUUGA
rnacentral:rRNA from 1 species